GCGCCCGUGGUGGAAUGGCAGACACGCUAGGCUUAGACCCUAGUGUCCGAAAGGACGUGAGAGUUCGAGUCUCUCCGAGUGCA
rnacentral:tRNA from 1 species